CAAUAAUUAAGAAGUUCUAGUCAACUGGAAAUGUUAUGAAUGAGCCUGGAAGAGGACAUGUGUCUAUAUUGUCUCACCGCACAGUGAAGAGGUUGGUUACAGUGGUCAAAAAAUCUCCAAGGAGCACAGCUGGAGAAUUACAGAAGUUAUUUUUGUCUUGGGGUCAAAAAGGUCUCCAAAACUAUAGUUGUUUGGAAGGGUUUCAAGAAUAAAG